rnacentral:rRNA from 1 species
GAUGAACGCUGGCGGCGUGCCUAAUACAUGCAAGUCGAGCGAACAGACGAGGAGCUUGCUCCUCUGACGUUAGCGGCGGACGGGUGAGUAACACGUGGCUAACCUACCUAUAAGACUGGGAUAACUUCGGGAAACCGGAGCUAAUACCGGAUAAUAUAUUGAACCGCAUGGUUCAAUAGUGAAAGACGGUUUUGCUGUCACUUAUAGAUGUAUCCGCGCCGCAUUAGCUAGUUGGUAAGGUAACGGCUUACCAAGGCAACGAUGCGUAGCCGACCUGAGAGGGUGAUCGGCCACACUGGAACUGAGACACGGUCCAGACUCCUACGGGAGGCAGCAGUAGGGAAUCUUCCGCAAUGGGCGAAAGCCUGACGGAGCAACGCCGCGUGAGUGAUGAAGGUCUUCGGAUCGUAAAACUCUGUUAUUAGGGAAGAACAAAUGUGUAAGUAACUAUGCACGUCUUGACGGUACCUAAUCAGAAAGCCACGGCUAACUACGUG